CAAAAAAUAGUUUAAAUAAAACGUUAAUUUUGGGUAUUAAUGAUAUCUAAUAGAUUUUUUUGA
rnacentral:tRNA from 1 species